rnacentral:lncRNA from 1 species
AAUCCCUAUGGCCAGCCAACACAACCAAAUGCUGAUCCUUAUGGUCAAUCUGCACAACCAAAUGCUAAUCCGUAUAGUCAACCAGCACAAGCAAAUGCUAAUCCAUACAGCCAACCUGUACAGGUACAUGCUAAUCCAUAUGGCCAACCUGCUCAGCCAAGUGCUAAUCCAUACAACCAACCUGCUCAGCCGAAUGCUAAUCCAUACAGCCAGCCUACACAGCCUAAUGCUAAUCCAUAUGGCCAACCUGUUCAGCCAAGUGCUAAUCCAUAUGCCCAACCCACACAGUCUGUGUCUGCAGCCCCUCAAAUUCCAGGAUCUGCUGCUCAGAGCAGCAAUGGGAGCUUAAUGAUAGGUUCUAAUGGUCCUGUCAGUU